rnacentral:rRNA from 1 species
GGCGAACGCUGGCGGCGUGCUUAACACAUGCAAGUCGAACGCUGAAGCUCAGCUUUUGUUGGGUGGAUGAGUGGCGAACGGGUGAGUAACACGUGAGUAACCUGCCCCCUUCUUUGGGAUAACGCCCGGAAACGGGUGCUAAUACUGGAUAUUCACUGGUCUUCGCAUGGGGGUUGGUGGAAAGGGUUUUUCUGGUGGGGGAUGGGCUCGCGGCCUAUCAGCUUGUUGGUGGGGUGAUGGCCUACCAAGGCUUUGACGGGUAGCCGGCCUGAGAGGGUGACCGGUCACAUUGGGACUGAGAUACGGCCCAGACUCCUACGGGAGGCAGCAGUGGGGAAUAAUGCACAAUGGGCGCAAGCCUGAUGCAGCGACGCCGCGUGAGGGAUGGAGGCCUUCGGGUUGUGAACCUCUUUCGCUCAUGGUCAAGCCGCAACAAUGGUUGUGGUGAGGGUAGUGGGUAAAGAAGCGCCGGCUAACUACGUG